rnacentral:rRNA from 1 species
AUUGAACGCUGGCGGCAGGCCUAACACAUGCAAGUCGGGCGAGGGGCGGACGGGUGUGUAAUGUAUGGGGAUCUGCCUGAUGGAGGGGGAUCACUUCUGGACACUGUAGCUAAUACCGUAUACUAUCAUAUGAACCCAUAUGGGAUUAGCUAGUAGGUGGGGUAACGGCUCACCUAGGACACGAUCCCUAGCUGGUCUGAGAGGAUGAUCAGCCACACUGGGACUGAGACACGGCCCAGACGCCUACGGGAGGCAGCAGUGGGGAAUAUUGCACAAUGGGCGCAAGCCUGAUGCAGCCAUGCCGCGUGUAUGAAGAAGGCCUUCGGGUUGUAAAGUACUUUCAGUCGGGAGGCGUUACCGACAGAAGAAGCACCGGCUAACUCCGUGCCAGCAGCCGCGGUAAUUC